GACGAACGUUGGCGGUGCGCUUAAUGCAUGCAAGUCGAACGAGAAGCAGCUCAUCCGUAAGGUUGAGCUGUGGACAGUGGCGAACGGGUGCGUAACACGUGAGAAACCUGCCCUGGAGACCGGGAUAGCCCGAGGAAACUCGGAUUAAUACCGGAUACCUUCACCGGAUCGCAUGGUCCUAUGAAGAAAUGGUCCGCCGCUCCAGGAUGGUCUCGCGGCCUAUCAGCUUGUUGGUGAGGUAACGGCUCACCAAGGCAGCGACGGGUAGCUGGUCUGAGAGGACGAUCAGCCACACUGGGACUGAGACACGGCCCAGACUCCUACGGGAGGCAGCAGCAGGGAAUAUUGCACAAUGGGCGCAAGCCUGAUGCAGCGACACCGCGUGCGGGAUGAAGGCUUUCGGGUUGUAAACCGCUUUCAGGAGGGACGAAAAUGACGGUACCUCCAGAAGAAGGCCCGGCCAACUAUGUGCCAGCCGCCGCCGUAACAC
rnacentral:rRNA from 1 species